CAUGCAAGUCGAACGGUAACAGGUCUUCGGAUGCUGACGAGUGGCGAACGGGUGAGUAAUACAUCGGAACGUGCCCGAUCGUGGGGGAUAACGAGGCGAAAGCUUUGCUAAUACCGCAUACGAUCUACGGAUGAAAGCGGGGGAUCUUCGGACCUCGCGCGGACGGAGCGGCCGAUGGCAGAUUAGGUAGUUGGUGGGAUAAAAGCUUACCAAGCCGACGAUCUGUAGCUGGUCUGAGAGGAUGAUCAGCCACACUGGGACUGAGACACGGCCCAGACUCCUACGGGAGGCAGCAGUGGGGAAUUUUGGACAAUGGGCGAAAGCCUGAUCCAGCCAUGCCGCGUGCAGGAUGAAGGCCUUCGGGUUGUAAACUGCUUUUGUACGGAACGAAAAGCCUCUUUCUAAUAAAGAGGGGUCAUGACGGUACCGUAAGAAUAAGCACCGGCUAACUACGUGCCAGCAGCCGCGGUAAUACGUAGGGUGCAAGCGUUAAUCGGAAUUACUGGGCGUAAAGCGUGCGCAGGCGGUUUUGUAAGACAGAGGUGAAAUCCCCGGGCUCAACCUNNGAACUGCCUUUGUGACUGCAAGGCUGGAGUGCGGCAGAGG
rnacentral:rRNA from 1 species